GUUUGCUUUUUAUUAUAAGAAAAAGACAGGAGGAGAAAAUCGCCUUCACAGCCCCUUCUCCGCCCUCCGCCUCGUCCUCUUCUCCGGCGCCGCCACCCCACCCCUUCUAUCCAGCGGUGUCGCCUCUCCUUCCCGGGACGGGGACGGGAAAGGGAGGCCCGAGGGCGGCAAGUUCCGUCGGAUGGUAGCGGCCGUCGCCUCGGAGGGCGCAGGGGGAGGCGCGCUGCUCGCGUCGCUCAUGGAGCCCUGCGAGGCGCUCUCGUUCUGCACGGAGGACGCCGGGGGCUACUUCCCCGUGGAGUCCACCGCCCGGGCGCUUGUGCGGCUGGCCGACGCCGAGGUCGCCAGCCCCGGCGAGAUGCUGCUCGCCGUGCGCGCCAUCACUUGCAGGUGGUUGGAUAUUAGUUAUGAAGGUUGUCCCUGGAUUUUUGCUCUAUCGAGGACUGCAUGACCUUGGUCAAUAUGCAUUCUUGGAAAUUCUCUGGGAGCCAGCCAUAAAGAAGGAAUUUCUACUGUAUCUUGUGGCAUUCUUAGUCAGGUACUAAAUAUAACCAGAUGAACUGUUUUUGCAAACGACUGAGUGCUAAUUGCACGAGUUCAAAGAUUAAGCUGAGUCCGAUCUAUUUUUCUGUCAAUUUAGUUUGAAGGUAAAUCGUUUUACAGUCAUCCCGUUAGAACUUGACCAGACAACAUGCAUGGUGGUUUGUAGUUUGUUGACAUAAAUGUCAAACAGUUUAUAUCUGCAUAAUUCUAGAAGUGCUCUCUUAUAAUAAUCCUCGGUACAAGUUGUAUCAGACUAGCAGUAUAAUGUUGGAUGAAUUGAUUUAAUUAAUUAGUGACUAUUUUUACAUGAGAUGAUCAUUAACUUUAGUUAUGUAUGUGAAAUAUGCAUAAAGAAUUUUUUGUGUUGUGCCCAUGUCGCAUGCAUAUAUGAUUUCCUUUUGCUACGUAUGUAUUCAUGUAUAUACCACAUCCAUUUGGCUAAGUUGCUUGCCUUGCUUACUUCUACAAAUAAAGUCGUUUCAUAUUGGAAUUAUGAAACAUGAUUUCUAUUUUCCUUGAAGACCAAGGAAUCAUAUUUUAUUUAUUUUCUGGAAAAGAUCAACAUGCUAAUUUUUCCUUAGUCUUAUCCAGAAUUUGUUAUUGCCAUCAGAAGGUGUACUACUUGACCAUGCAGGAUACAAGGUGUCACGAUGAUUUGAUGAGGUAAGGUAAUCGUUGAGUCAUGUUGUCAAAUGCUAAUGGAUGGAAUUUCUAAUGUAUGGCUGGAACAACAAGUCGGUGAUGAUAUUGCGACGUCUUAUUUGAGAACUGUAGACAUGGUUUGCCACGCUGGACCUUGUGAAGAUUAUGUCUGUUCUUUGUUUAAGACUAAUUGUACACAUUCAUGUUGCAAAUAUUUCUUCGGUUUCUGUUCUCAAGGGUAUAGUAAUGCAGAAAUGGCUAAAUUUUACAAAUUGUAGUACUUCUUGUGAGCAAGCAUUCAGUUCAAAAGCUGCCUAACAUGCUGGUAACUUGCUAAAUUAGGCAUAUAAUAUUAUAAUUUUAGUUUCAUCUGAGAACUUCUCUUUAAGACAAUGGCAGUGAACAUUUGUUUCCGACAAUGACAGUGGAUAUCGUAUAUUUUGCUCUCUAAAAAUGAACUAUUGUGGUGUUGUUCACCUAUCAAUGUGCCAUGUUUUCUAUCUAAGAAUAUGCCACAUUUGCUAAAUAAACCAGCUCAUUAAAGUGAUGGACAACUAAAUACUUUUUAUAGAGCUAAAAUAAUAUAUAGGCAACCAAACAACCUUCCCUUUCAAAAAAAAGCCAAGCAAACAUCUGGGUAACUUCCUGGCGCGGUGGAGCACCCUUGCCCACUAGUACAUAUUGUGAACCCUCAACUCAUACAAUUUUGAAGAAAACAUGAAUUGGAUAUAUGGUGCAUUUUCUUCAAAGUAUGGUAUAUUUAGUUGGAAAGAAUGACAUUUUGUGAAGGAAGAAACUGCCUUAAAUCCCUUAUGAUAAGCAUGCGGUUGAUCUGGGUGCAACUCAUAUGCACCAGAAUACUUGGCUAUAGCAUGUUUUGUUAGAUCCAUUCUUAAGAAAAUGCAUUAUUCUUGAAAGGCGGCACGCUCACUGCAGCUUGACCACGUCAUCCCUGCCAAUGCCGAUUAGCUCAGCCUUGGUGGCGGCGGGCUCCUGGACCACCUCAAGCAGGCGCCUGCGGCGGCGGCCGACAUGUGAGGUAUGCUCUUUGGUACUAACUCUUCAUUCUCGACAUCUGGUUGUGUCUGUUCCUCAUAUUGUCUCCAAAUACCGGUGCGAAAAGGCUUUCUUCUAGAUCUGCUCAUUAUGGUUCUCCAAAUACAAUACAUUCAAUGAUAUUGUAGUUUUUGUGGGCUUGUUCUUUAUAAGAAAAUAAUUGUACACAUAGCACUAUAGUUAGAAGCAGGUCUACGAAGGCAUGGCUUCAAAAUUCCAUAUACAUGUUUUGUUCCUUUUCCUUUCCAUAUCUAUGGUUUUCAUACUAAUUUAUGUUUUCCCCUCAAGGGAGGACAUGUGUAUUUGAGAGAGGGUUAUGGAAAAGAAGGGGCUGGACUAAGAGGAAGGAGUGGAAUCACAUGAUGUGCAUUGCAUUUCUGUCUAUGCAAUCCAGUUAUAUACUGAUAAGGCUUUAUACAAUAAUAAGCUCCCUAUCUGUUGAACGUCACAAUUAGUACAGAGGCACAAGUCAUUUCUGACAAUUGAAGAUCAAACAAACAAUACUGCAGAAUUAUGCCAACAUAAGUUUUUGAUGUACAUUGAGCUUGUCAGUUUUACUGUCACCUUUAAUUUUGGAGACAUGGCUAACUAUUUUCUCCACUAUUUGGCAUCUUCCUAUGUUCAUCUUGACAGUCUGGUUUUCUAUGAUCUUGUUUUCUAUUUGCAGGGGCAAAUUAUAUUUCAAUGAUACAAAUGGCUGAUGUUAGUUUUGGUAUAUAUGUGGUCAAGAAGGUUGUCAAGUAGUGAUGGCCUCAGAUUUGUUAUGGGGCAGUUUUUUUUAAUAGAGCGCUUCUUGCGCACAAGCACUGGAACCAUCGGUCUAUGACAUACAUGAUUCUCUAUAACUUCUACCAGAAUGCUUUCUUUGUGUUAAUGCUCUUCUGGUACAUAUUCCCUCCUCUGUGUGUUUCUCAUAUGAUGUAAGCUCAGUAUAUCUGUGUUACCUUUGUUACCUGUCACCUACAAUUUGACUAUCCAAAUGUAUGAAUAUACGGAAGAAUCAUCCCGCACUCCCUUUUGGCCUUUUUGGACCUCUUGUAAUGUACACUGGUCUAAUUAAGUUCUUAAUGAAUUGAUUUAGGCACACUACAUAUUCUGUAACUCUUGUGCUGAUAGAUUAGAGUACUGCUUUCUAUUCCAUUAUCUGCACAUCAAUUCCCACAGUAGUGGUUGAUAUUCUAGAAGACUUACUCAUAAUAGUCAUAAUACCCUUCUUUAUUGUCUGAGACUAUUGAGGCAAAGCUUCAAAAUGAGGGCUACAACCUGACACUCUUCUGAAACAUAAUGGUAGAUACCUUGUAACAAAGCCUUGUCCUUUCCUAUGUACAUUUCUUCACAUAUAAUAUCAGUUCUGUUUCAUGUAGCAGUCUUCUUUGUUAGUAAUGUUCCAUGUUUCUGUUUACAUGUACGUUCAUUAAUUUUCCCGUUUGAACCCCCUUAAUUAGUAAGGUGAGCUCACAAGCUUGGGUCCUAAACCACAAGAGCUCGAGAAAGUCGUCAUACAUUCCUUCUGCAGGACACUAGCAACCUCGGAUACAAGUACCCGUGGUGGUUUCUCUGUUCUUAGGAGACAUGCUGAAGAUUAUCUUCCUCGGACGGUUAGCAUUGCAAGCACUCUUUGACUCCACUUGAUGUCUACAAUAUUUCUGGCUUAUUGAAUGAUAUGGUUACUUGCAAGACAUGUCGCAGAAUCCACAUAGAACCGGGUGGCAUUUUCCUCACAUUUCAUGGUGAUUUUAAUUUGAGCAUUCAGCUUGAAUACCCUUUAAACUUUCUGUCGUUGUGCUCUUAUUGUUUUGGUGUAGCACUUCAUGUCACAACUGAAUGUUGAAUUCUUACCACUGUAGAAACUUCAACAUAUACUGAUUCAUUAGAUAAUGAGUAUGUGUGAGCUCUCUUUGUCUUUCUGGUUGAA